AACGUAGGAGACAAACGUUAUCCGGAGUUACUGGGCGUAAAGGGCGUGCAGGUGGUUACUUAAGUCUGAUGUGAAAUCUCCCUGCUCAACGGGGAGGGUGCGUUGGAUACUGGGUGGCUAGAGGACGGUAGGGGUGAAGGGAAUUCCGGGUGUAGUGGUGAAAUGCGUAGAGAUCCGGAGGAACACCAGUGGCGAAGGCGCUCCACUAGGCCGUACCUAACACUAAGACGCGACAGCAUGGGGAGCGAACGGG
rnacentral:rRNA from 1 species